CCCUUAGAUGUUCUGGGCUGCACGCGCGCUACACUGAUGCGCUCAACGAGUUUAUGACCUUGCCUGGAAAGGUUGGGUAAUCUUAUUAAAACGCAUCGUGAUGGGGAUAGAUUAUUGCAAUUAUUAAUCUUCAACGAGGAAUUCCUAGUAAACGCAAGUCAUCAGCUUGCAUUGAUUACGUCCCUGCCCUUUGUACACACCGCCCGUCGCACCUACCGAUUGAAUGGUCCGGUGAAAUCUCGGGACGGCGGCUUGGUCGCUUGCGUCCGACUGCUGAAACUUGAUUAAACCAUAUCAUUUAGAGGAAGGUGAANUCGUAACA
rnacentral:rRNA from 1 species